GUGGUCAAGCUAAUUAGGGCUAAUGGUGGAUACCUAGGCACGCAGAGGCGAUGAAGGACGUGGCUACCGACGAAACGUUCCGGGGAGCUGGAAGCAAGCGAUGAGCCGGAAAUGUCCGAAUAGGGCAACCUUGAAUACAACCUACUGAAUAUAUAGGUAGGAAUGAGCGAACCAGGCGAACUGAAACAUCUCAGUAGCCAGAGGAAAAGAAAACAAAAGUGAUUCCCUAAGUAGUGGUGAGCGAACGGGGAGAAGCCUAAACCAUAUUGCUUGCAAUAUGGGGUAGUGGGACAGUGACAUGGACUCCAUAGAUUAGAUGAAGCAGCGAAAUACUGCACCAGAGAAGGUGAAAGUCCUGUAGUCGAAAAUUGAUUGGAUACUAACUGAAUCCCGAGUAGCUAGGGGCACGUGAAAUCCCUAGUGAAUCAGCGAGGACCAUCUCGUAAGGCUAAAUACUACUGCGUGACCGAUAGCGAAAAGUACCGCGAGGGAAAGGUGAAAAGAACCCCGGAAGGGGAGUGAAAUAGAACAUGAAACCAUUAGCCUACAAGCAGUUGAAGCACGAUUAAACGUGUGACAGCGUGCCUGUUGAAGAAUGAGCCGGCGACUUAUAGGUACUGGUAGGUUAAGGCGGGAAUGCCGGAGCCAAAGGGAAACCGAGUCUGAAUAGGGCGUUAAUCAGUAUUUAUAGACCCGAACCCGGGUGAUCUAACCAUGUCCAGGAUGAAGCUUGGGUAACACCAAGUGGAGGUCCGAACCGACUGAUGUUGAAAAAUCAGCGGAUGAGGUGUGGUUAGGGGUGAAAUGCCAAUCGAACCCGGAGCUAGCUGGUUCUCCCCGAAAUGUGUUGAGGCGCAGCGGUAACGAUUAUACCUGGGGGGUAAAGCACUGUUUCGGUGCGGGCUGCGAGAGCGGUACCAAAUCGAGACAAACUCAGAAUACCCAGAGAACACGUUGCCAGUGAGACGGUGGGGGAUAAGCUUCAUCGUCAAGAGGGAAACAGCCCAGACCACCAGCUAAGGUCCCCAAAUCAUCGCUAAGUGGCAAAGGAGGUGGGAGUGCAUAGACAACCAGGAGGUUUGCCUAGAAGCAGCCAUCCUUGAAAGAGUGCGUAAUAGCUCACUGGUCAAGCGCUCCUGCGCCGAAAAUGAAUGGGACUAAGUGAUGUACCGAAGCUGUGGACUUAGAUUCUAAGUGGUAGGGGAGCGUUCCAUAUGGGUAGAAGCAAUAGCGGCGAGCAGUUGUGGACUGUAUGGAAGUGAGAAUGUCGGCUUGAGUAGCGAAAAUAUAUGUGAGAAUCAUAUACCCCGAAACCCUAAGGGUUCCUCCGCCAGGUUCGUCCUCGGAGGGUUAGCCGGGACCUAAGGCGAGGCUGAAAAGCGUAGUCGAUGGACAUAGGGUCAACAAUCCCUAGCUAUUAAGUGGGAGCAUAGUCAGGACGCAUCAAGGAUAGCUACACCCUGAUUGGAUUGGGAGUCUUCUACGGAAGACGUGUAGUCAAGAAUAGUGCCAAGAAAAGCCGAUUAUGUGUUGAAAACUUAGUACCCGUACCCGAAACCGACACAGGUAGGGAGGUUGAGUAAACUAAGGGGCGCGAGAUAACUCUCUCUAAGGAACUCGGCAAAAUGACCCCGUAACUUCGGAAGAAGGGGUGCCACCGCAAGGUGGUCACAGUAAAGAGGCCCAGGCGACUGUUUACCAAAAACACAGGUCUCUGCAAACGAGUAAUCGGACGUAUAGGGGCUGACGCCUGCCCAGUGCCGGAAGGUUAAGGAAGUCGGUCAGGGGUUCGCCUUGAAGCUGACGACUGAAGCCCCGGUGAACGGCGGCCGUAACUAUAACGGUCCUAAGGUAGCGAAAUUCCUUGUCGGGUAAGUUCCGACCCGCACGAAAGGCGUAACGAUCUGGGCACUGUCUCGGAGAGAGACUCG
rnacentral:rRNA from 1 species